CAUGAACGUUGGCGGCGUGGAUUAGGCAUGCAAGUCGAGCGUGAUAGGUUUGGUGCUCGCAUUAAACCUUGAAAGCGGCGAAAGGGACAGUAACGCGUAGAUACCUACCUCCAGGUCCGGGAUAGCAGCGGGAAACUGCCGGUAAUACCGGAUAAUGUCUUCGGACCAAAGGUGUGAUUCCGCUUGGAGACGGAUCUGCGUCCUAUUAGCUAGUUGGUGGGGUAAUGGCCACCAAGGCGAUGAUGGGUAGCGGGCGUGAGAGCGUGGCCCGCGUCACUGGGACUGAGACACUGCCCAGACAGCUACGGGUGGCUGCAGUCGAGAAUCUUCGGCAAUGGGCGCAAGCCUGACCGAGCGACGCCGCGUGCGGGAUGAAGGCCUUCGGGUUGUAAACCGCUGUCGGAGAGGCGGAAAUCUCUAGGGGUUCUCCCCUGGAGUUGACCUAAUCUCGGAGGAAGUCCGGGCUAAGUUCGUGCCAGCAGCCGCAGUAAGAC
rnacentral:rRNA from 1 species